AGUGAACGCUGGCGGUAGGCCCAACACAUGCAAGUCGAACGGCAGCACAGUAAGAGCUUGCUCUUACGGGUGGCGAGUGGCGGACGGGUGAGGAAUACAUCGGAAUCUACUUUUUCGUGGGGGAUAACGUAGGGAAACUUACGCUAAUACCGCAUACGACCUACGGGUGAAAGCAGGGGAUCUUCGGACCUUGCGCGAUUGAAUGAGCCGAUGUCGGAUUAGCUAGUUGGCGGGGUAAAGGCCCACCAAGGCGACGAUCCGUAGCUGGUCUGAGAGGAUGAUCAGCCACCCUGGAACUGAGACACGGUCCAGACUCCUACGGGAGGCAGCAGUGGGGAAUAUUGGACAAUGGGCGCAAGCCUGAUCCAGCCAUACCGCGUGGGUGAAGAAGGCCUUCGGGUUGUAAAGCCCUUUUGUUGGGAAAGAAAAGCAGCAGGUUAAUACCCCGCUGUUCUGACGGUACCCAAAGAAUAAGCACCGGCUAACUUCGU
rnacentral:rRNA from 1 species